AUAGAUAAGGCUAUCCUAAAUGCUCUCCUUACCCAAUAUAUCAGGUGGCAAAUUGUUUAAUGUACGAACUUUGGGAUGUCCAGCAAAGGAGUGGAUUCAUUUCCAGGGCAGAGUGUAUCUACAUGCCACACAUGGAUGCAGGACAAUAAAUAGACAUACUGGAAAUAUCCUUGGCUUGAAAAACAUCAAUGGGCAGACAACCCAUGCACCCUUCAGGUGGGUCAAUAAAUUUUGAAAGAAAGAAGGAAACAGAAAAAGAUAAAAGAUGCUAGAUUUUAUGAAUGAAGGAAUAUCAUUUGUAAAAUUAAGAAAGAACAAUCAUCAUUGCAUGCAUACACACCUAUCUUCAUAAGUUCAGGGAUAUAUAAAAAAGGAAGAAUGCUGUCAUAACAUGCUUGGUGGGGAGCUGAGUGUUUAAACAGAGAGGCAUGUCUUAGGUUGGCCUCAGGGCUCUGAAAGAAUUUGAGAGUGAAAGAGCCCACUUGGAAGGGCACUUGUUGCUAUCUUAUGAAAGCAAGGGAAGGAAAUUCAAUGAGCAUAUUGUCCAUGGCCAAUGCGGCCCAGGAGACUGCUGAGCCAGAGAUUGGAGGAAAAUCUGAUAGUUGCUGUUAGAGCAGAUGGCCACACGAGGGCGACAGAGUACUUUCUGGUCAGGUGCAGCCCCAAGGCUCUAAAUGUGCAGGCUCAGAGCUGGGGCUGAUGGUGUCUUGAGCGGGACCCACAGCAAGCACCCAGAAGUUUUUCACUUGUUUCCUGGACACCAUGGACUCCCUGCUCCAAGAUGCCUAGGUGGAUAAUGAGGAUGGUGCUAAUGAAUGGAGGACUUCGGUAGCAUUAGGGUGGGCAGCUGGCUUGAUCCCUUUGUGUUUUCCACUCAAUAUUCUUAGGGAAUUUUCCAUCUUGCCUUUUGAGAUAAGCCUCAGUUUUCAGUAUGGUGGCAGGUUGUGGAGGCCUGACUGAAAGCAAGUCUGAUGAAUUAAGCACAUUUAAUUGGUAUCAUGCAAGCUCUCAGGGAUUUCCCUUUGGGCUGCCUGGCUUAAGAGUCUCUACUUGUUAGCACUGUGGCUGUGGUAAGAGCUGUGUUGGGAGAUCAAACUCUGGCCAGACAACAUCACAGUGACACAGUUGGCACCCAAAUAAAUUGAUUUAAAAAGAAAACUAGAUAAUGAAAAGAAUGAGCUUAAAUGAUAAAAGUCAAUGUGUGUGUGUGUGUGUGUGUGUAUACACAUUCCUACAGAGUAGCUAAUGGAAUUUAUAGAUAAGGCAAUCCUAAAGCCUCUCCUCAUCCAAUAUCUCGGGUCCAAAUAUAUUGGGUUUUAAGUAUGAUCCUGGGGAUAUACAGCAUAGGCGUGUAUUCUUUUCCUGGGCAGAGUAUCUACAGGUACCCUUGGGUGGAGGAAUAUAAAUACCUAAGU
rnacentral:lncRNA from 9 species